rnacentral:pre_miRNA from 1 species
ACAGACGGCAGCUGCGGCCUAGCCCCCAGGCUUCACUUGGCGUGGACAACUUGCUAAGUAAAGUGGGGGGUGGGCCACGGCUGGCUCCUACCUGGACAGGCCUCCAGCUAAC